rnacentral:lncRNA from 1 species
UGGCAGAAAGAGCCCUGGGCCAGCCUAAAUUGACGGGAGAGUCAAGCAGGGUGCCAGCCUCGGAGCCCCUACAGCCUUCGGACAGAGCCCCUUCAGCCAGCCACCAGCUGCACCACAUCAAAACACCUUUCCCCCCAGGGCCUUCCCCAACAUCGCUGCUAAAGUUAACGGGAACCCCCACAGCACCCCUGUGAGCGGCCCUCCAGCUUUUCUGACCCAAGGCUGGGGCAGCACUUACCAGGCUUGGCAGCAGCCUACACAGCAAGUCCCAAGCCAGCAGAGCCAGCCACAGAACAGCCAGCCCGACUACAGCAAGGCCUGGGAAGACUAUUACAAAAAACAGGGUCACACCACCAGUGCUGCCCCACAGGCCAGCUCCCCCCCAGACUACACGAUGGCCUGGGCCGAGUACUACAGGCAGCAGGCCGCCUUCUAUGGGCAGACUUUAGGGCAGGCUCAGGCCCACAGCCAGGAGCAGUAGAUGGGCAUCUGCCGCGGCUCUUCCCCGAAAUCAGUGUGAGAGAAACCUGUUUGUUACAGAGAUUUUUAGAUUUGCAAACCUUUCGAUGAAGACCUUUGUUUUGUUCUGUGAAACACUAUAUUUAGAUUAACAGAAAUUUUCUAAAAAUUAGGAAAAUUAGUUACUAAACAUUGGUAAUUUUUGUGUCAUGAUUUCUUUGUAAAUGUGUAAGCUCUGGAGCUCUUUUGGAGCAAAACCUGCAAGCUCAGGUGCCGGAACUCUCCUCAGAGCCUGACAUUUCAUCAAAUGAUGGGUUUGUCUUGUGUCUUUUUAUUUACAGUUUUGGGUGGUUUUUUUUGUUUUUUUGUUUUUUUGUUUUUUUGUUUUUUUGUUUUUUUUUGUUGGUUUUUUGUUGGGUUUGGGGGGGUUUGGUUUUUUGUUUUGUUUUGUUUUUUGUUUUUUUGUUUUUUUCUGUUACAACAGAAAAAAUGGCU